AGGACGAACGCUGGCGGCGUGCUUAACACAUGCAAGUCGAACGAGGUGCUUGCACCUAGUGGCGAACGGGUGAGUAACACGUGAGCAAUCUGCCCUUGGCUCUGGGAUAGCCUCCGGAAACGGGGAUUAAUACCGGACAUGACCUUCUUCCGCAUGGUGGAGGGUGGAAAGUUUUUCGGCCAGGGAGGGGCUCGCGGCCUAUCAGCUUGUUGGAGGGGUAACGGCCCACCAAGGCGACGACGGGUA
rnacentral:rRNA from 1 species